rnacentral:lncRNA from 1 species
CCCCCCCCCCCGUCAAAUGUACUGCUUAUCAACUCAGGCAGAGUCAUGGCACACUUACAUCUGUUUUGGGAAAUUCUCCUGCAGUUGUCUUCCUCCAUGUUUUGUUAAUCAACUCUUAGUUCUUAUGCAACUAAAGUCUCUGAAAAGCCACCUUUACUCAAAGGAACAGCAUACUCCAUUCACCACCAUGCUAAAUACAAGUUUUUCAUCUGCAUUGAGGGCCCUUUCAAAUAACGUCGUAUGGAACCUUCAAAUUUUCCUUUUUAAAUACAGUGGUGCCCCGCUUGUCAAUGGUAAUCUGUUCCAGGAAAAUCACUGUUAAGCGAAAUCGUCUUCCAGCGGAAAAAAAACCAUUGGAAUGCAUUGAAAACCGAUCAAUGAGUUCCAAUGGGGAAAUACCUCAUCGUCCAGCGAAGAUUGCCCAUAGAGAACCGCCUAUCAGCUGUUUAAAAUCACUUUCUUCCAAAGCAGGUGUGUGGAAAACAGCCAUUUUGCGAAGGGAGAGAAGCCAUUUUACAAAGGGAAGCCAUUUUGCAGAGUAGGAAAAAUCGUCAUUUAGUGAACAAAUAGUUCGUGAAGCAGGCUCCUAAUCGACGUCAAGUGAAAAAACCCCAUUGGAACCAUCAUUUUGUGAUUGCAAUAGCAAUCGCAAAAAAAAUCUCAUUGGAAAGCGAUUUUGAUGUCAUGCGGGGUAAGCGUCAAGCAGGGCACCACUGUACCAUGUUUGCCCGAAAAUAAGAUUUUGCUCCAAAAAACGCAUUAGGCCUUAUUUUCAGGGGAUGUUUUAUUUUACAGUCAUAUCAUCUUCUGGUUGCUGCACAAUGGUAGAGGGCGGGGUUUCACUUAACUAGGGGUUAUUUUUGGGGUAUGGCUUAUAUUACGAGCAUCCUGAAAAAUCAUACUAGGCUUAUUUUCAGGUUAGGUCUUAUUUGGGGGGAAACAGGGUAGCAGGCUUCUGCGUUUGAAGGUUUUUCUCUCAUUUUUAAAGAUACGAUCAUCACCUUUGAAAGAAU